rfam:Ovis aries breed Texel chromosome 1, whole genome shotgun sequence.
UCUCUGGUGGUCUAGUGGUUAGGAUUUGGCACUAUCACUGCCAUGGCCUGGGUUCAGUCCCUGGCUGGGGAA